UUCCCAGCUCUGGAAGCACAACUGGUUAUUUUGAUUUGAUUGACAAGUGAUGUCAUAUCGUUAAGGGAGAGGGGGGAGACGACAACGUGUUUUAGCAACAGUUAGGAGCCCUGUGUGAUGGAGUUGACACCUACGCCGGGGCAGAGGCGAAGGCAGAACCCCUCUUUCCCUAUCCACGCACACGGAAUUGGGUUUAUUCCUUUUGAUUUCCUUUUUUUUUCCCUAUUCUGGGUGCUCGGACCCUCGCAGCCGGGAGUGGCUGGGCUGGAACCUCACCCCCAGCGACACUUCCCUCCAGACACCCCCUUCUCUGUCUUUCGGGCUAUGCACCUGCAAGUAGGAGAAGCAGCGGAGAAGCUGAAAGAGGCGCAAGCAGCUAUUUCGCCAGGAAUCGUUGUUGUAGCUAGGAAGGUAACGGUAAAACACACAUAGGAGAACCAGCCAAAACGAAUGGGUUUGGAAACGUUUGCGCUCCCCAGCCCCGGCUCUGCAGUCCUCACCUGACGGGUAUUUUGCUCCCGGAAGAGGGAGACGCUGCUGCCAGCCGCGCCCUGGGAUCGCCCCUGCACGGAACGACUCUAAACCGAGGGAUCGUCGCUCGGGCGGGAAAACCACGGCAAAAGCGGGGUUUGAAUCCUGCAGAUUGCUCCCCGCGCGGGGACAAACGAGGGCGGCCGCUCCGGGGCUCGGGGAGGGGCUGAGACCGGCGGAGCGCGGGACCCCGCUGUCCCGGGUUGCCCCGGGCCAGGGCCAUCCACCGAGUGCCACCAACGGCAUUGGGGGCCGGAGGGGCGCGGGUGCGAUUUGCUCUUCUUUCCCGCUGGAAGAGAAGGAUGUUUUCCUCUGCUCUUUAGGUUUCCUACUUAAGAUGUCAUCUGAAAGUCUGGGAAGGAGCGGGGACCGUGCUCUGCUUCUUCCACGGUAACAACCAUAUUCUGCAUAUCGAACAAUACAACAGACAGUGGGAAAGGCUGAAACCCCCCGAAAAAAAUAAGGAGAAAAAAAAAUUAAAAAAGAAAAAAUCCCCAACCUUUUCAAUAUUGAUUUAAAAAAAAAAGAGAGAAAAUUUAAAAAGAGAAGAAGCAGCACCAGCAGCAAGGAGAAUAUAGGCUCAGCAGCUCUCCAGGUUCGCUUCCUUAUUAUUACUAUCCAGGGGUAAUUUUUCAUCUCUGCUAGCUAAUCUUUGUUCCUUGUGAAGAUAAUGAAUAGCCCAAUCCUUAUCUCCUGGGCUCCUGGAGGCUGCUGGAGAAUGGGGUUGAACAGGGUUGAAAAUUGGUUCCAAAGUGCUGCUGAAUAAAUGGUGUUCCUUA